CUGGGAGGAAAACGUGAGAGAGACACUCCUACUCAUUAGGAGACUGGGAGGAAAACGUAAGAGAGACACUCCUACUCAUUAGGAGACUGGGAGGAAAACGGGAGAGAGACACUCCUACUCAUUAGGAGACUGGGAGGAAAACGUGAGAGAGACACUCCUACUCAUUAGGAGACUGGGAGGAAAACGGGAGAGAGACACUCCUACUCAUUAGGAGACUGGGAGGAAAACGUGAGAGAGACACUCCUACUCAUUAGGAGACUGGUGGGAAAACGUAAGAGAGACACUCCUACUCAUUAGGAGACUGGGAGGAAAACGUAAGAGAGACUCUCCUACUCAUUAGGAGACUGGGAGGAAAACGUAAGAGAGACAC